AUGCAGAGCUGCUACUACCCUCAGCUGCCUCAUCUCACGGACCAUGCGGCGCUAUCGGCCGACCGAUCAUCUAACGUUACUGAAGAUCUGCUGGACUUCGCCACAGAUGAGUGUCAGUCCACUGAUACACAUUCAAGGACACACGAGGCCCACACAGACCUGGAUCUCUCUCUAGAGCUGAACAGACAGGUGGGUUUAAUCCAGAAGCAGUUCAUUUCGGUUUUAACUUUACAAAUUCAGAGUUAAUUGACUGAGCUGACUUGUUGGGCCAAGUUUCCAAGGUUUAGCCAACCUUUUGACCAAAAAAUGGAAGAAAAAGAAAUUCACACACCAAAGUUUGACUGAGAGUUGUUCAAGGCCAUGAUCCACUCUUUAUUCCAAGAUAGUCUGUAUGAUAAAUGUAGAUGAACCUAGAUUUAAAGGGGUCAAGACAUGGAUUUUUUUUAUUUUAUUUUAAAAUGUUCCUUGAGUUUACUUGUGAUGUUAAUAAAUAAAUAAAUGAUUAUUUUCA
ensembl:lncRNA